rnacentral:misc_RNA from 1 species
GAUGAAGAACGUAGCGAAAUGCGAUAAGUAAUGCGAAUUGCAGAAUUUCCGUGAGUCAUCGAAUCUUUGAACGCACAUUGCGCCCACUGGUAUUCCGGUGGGCAUGCCUAUUCGAGCGUCAUUAUCCUCCCUCAAACCCCGGGUUUGGUGUUGGACCCAAGUUGUGUGAACAACUGGUCUCAAAGACAAUGACGGCGUCCGUGGGACCCUCGGUGCAACGAGCUUUUAGGAGCACGCAUCGAGUUGCAAGGACCUUCCGGGCCGGUCUCCUUUACCAUUUUACAAGGUUGACCUCGGAUCAGGUAGGAAUACCCGCUGAACUUAAGCAUAUCAAUAAGCGGAGGA